rnacentral:lncRNA from 1 species
AGUCGGAACCUUACUUUGAGACUUAAAAAAAAGGGAUAUUAGAUUCUUAUUCGAUUAUUUAAUUCUUGGUCUAGAAUUGAGAACUGGAUAAAACCCGUUGAUUCUCGAUUCAGAUAUUCAUUUGGAUAUUUAAUUUAAGAAGAAUCGAUCGAUUCAUUUCAAUUCGAUUCGGUUUAAAAGUUUUGUCCAGCCCUAACAAGUCCACCGUGCAAGUCAAGCUCUUCUAAUAAAGAAAAAGAACCAAUAAAUUGAACUCAAAAUAUCUAAUCCCUAUUACUUUGUUGAAAUAUUCUGUUAUAAAUCCUCUAUUGCCAAUACCUUAGUAUGGCCAUUAGCAAUCUAGUCAUAUAGUAGAGUUGCGAGCAAACGAAAUCAUGUUGAAGCCUUCGCAAGAAUUGACAUUUAAAAAUAAAUAAUUAUGAAGAGAAAAACCAUUGACAUGCCUUAAGUCGAUUCCUACACCACCAGAAAGAGAGAGUUUAAAAAGUGUAAGAGAGAGCUUGUAAAAUGUUUUACACUCUGCUAAACAUGUUAAGAGAUAAGUACUUCUAUCCUCCUCAAAAUGGUAAACACUUACCCAUUGAAUCGAAAUCUUUCUUGAGCAUCAACAGAUGGGGAGAUGUAAAACGUCUAGUAUGAAGCCACUAUUAUGUAGAAUUGAUACCGUAAAAGUGCAAGUGGAUCCCUUCCCAAUAUCAUUCCAUAUAAAAACAAUAUUAGUGUAAAUUCCAUAAACAAACAUUCUUGAUUGAAAAAAGUUCGAUCAAUAAACUAAAGUUUUGUUAUACACACCAUAAUCACAUCAACAUCCAAUUAACAAAAAAUUCAUUCUGUUACCUUUCCUAUGGUGUCGCUUCAUGAAUAAUAUCAAUACCUUUUACUGGUUCCUUAAUUCCAAUAUCUACAAGACACAAAAAACUAAAAGAGCAUAUAUAAAGCUCCAAUAGAAAAACUCCUUAGCCCAAACUUCAAUUAAUUCAAUAAUUAUAAGUGAGAAGAAGCAUAAAAAGGGUGUGAAUGCCUACAAUUACAAUUACCUUUGUGCAGAUAAAUGGCUACAAACAAUCGAAAGCCAAAACGACAAAGAAACUUAAAGACAUUGUAGAUGAUUAAUAAAAUGCAAUUUAAAAAUAUACCUUUACAACUCCAAUGUCUAAGACGUAUGGAGUGAAAGCUAUUCCAAUAGAAGUGCUCAUCCAGUCAUCUGUAAAAAUAAAUAAAUUCUCAAAAGUCAAAAUAGACCGUCUUCCAAAUGAAGCACUGCAAUAAAUCUUGGAUAAAUAAAAGUAGAAAACCUUGCAAGUAAACAUACAGAAAAAAACAAGAAAAAUUAAAAGAAGGUGACACAAGUAAGAAAAGAAAGAUUAAAAAAUAAUUAAAAAAUACCAGAAAAAGGAAAAUAAAGGCCCAAGAACUGAAACUAUUCCCAUAGAAUCCAAUGAAUGGUUGGAUCUUCAAUUGCUACUUGAAAAUCCAAAGAACACACAGCCUUCGCACGGAGGGAGAAAAUGUUUCUUCUGGCGGAGACGAAUUGAUUAUUGAUGGUUUCUUUGAGUGGAGGAGGAGAAAUGGAGAGCUUCUUCGAAGAAGUGGAGGUGGCCACAACCAACAAGCUCUGAAUUGAGAAAUCAAUCAACAAAGACAUGAUUAAGAAGAGGAGAGGAAAAGAGGAGGAUGAAGGACCUGAGAAAACAAUUAGAGCAAAGAAAAAUGGACAAGAAAUAAUUACUUCAGAUAUUUAUUCAUGAACAGUGGAAGAUAAUUUAAUGAACAGUGAGAAGCUAGUUAUUGAACAAUAAUGGAACCAGAUUCAGUGUGAAAAGGAGGCCACAAGAAUAAAU